rnacentral:lncRNA from 1 species
ACCCUGAAAUGGCUCACUUCCUGAGGAACAAACUUGCUGGAUCUAGUGUACGGAAACCUGAUUCUGGGUUCCUUUGGGAAGGAGCAUUACGGGCCUGCUCCUGGACCACCUCAUAUCACCAGCACCCUCUACCCAAGGUCCUGGAGCCAACACUGGAGUAAAAGAGCACAAGAGAACUCCUUAGAGGUGGAAGGACUGGCGCAUCUCAUGAGAGCUAAGCAUGACAGAUAUCAACAGGCGGGCUUCCUAGGAUGAUUUCUCAGCCAACAGUCCAAGACCUUUUGUUGAUUUCAGCCCCACUUAGCCAAGACCUCAAGUAUAAAUUCUGAUAAUUAUGGAGAAAUCAACUGCUAUUUUAUACCGAUUCUGUUAAAAAAAAAAAAGUUUUGUAACUAUUAAAAUAAUUUUCUGAAA